rnacentral:sRNA from 2 species
UAUUCUGCCCUACGGGGAAGGAUGAGAAGCUUCGACUAAGGUUCGACUCGAGCGUAGCGAGAGAACGUUGCCGCAGGCAACGGCCCGAAGGGCGAGGCGCUUUAGCGCCGAGUUAUCCUUCCCCCACCGCUG